rnacentral:rRNA from 1 species
UUAUGUGCAUUACUACAACAUACAAUUAUUGCACUGGAUCCCAUUAGAACUCUACAGUUAAGCGCACUCGGGAUAGAGUAGUACUGGUAUGGGUGACUGCCCAGGAAGUCCUAUUGGUUUACAUGAC